rnacentral:lncRNA from 1 species
UUUUUUUUUAAGAUUUUAUUUAUUUAUUCAUGAGAGAGAGAGAGAGAAAGAUGCAGAGACACAAGCAGACUGCAUGCAAGGAGCCUGAUGCGGGACUUGAACCUGGGAAUCCAGGAUCACACCCUGAGCCAAAGGCAGGUGCCCAACCACUGAGCCACACAGGCGUCCCUAUUAGUUUCCUUUGAUGGUCUCAUAUUUACUUGGAUUUUGUUAUCUUUGAUUUCUUACAUUGGUAUCUGCACACUUGAAUAAUUUGGCUCCUCUUCUAGACUCUAUAGAUUUGCUUUGGCAGAGAUAGAUCUUCAAUAGUCACCUCAGUUUAGGUCACUGGGCAGGUGGUACCCGCUAUUAUGGUCUAGUUUUUGGCAAGGCAACUUUCCAAGCUCUAAGUUUGGGUAUAGGGAAAGAGGUGGAAAUCUGUAGGAUGGGCCCCCCCCCCCGCAGUUGCAUGAAUUUUCCAUCUGGCUUACUAGAUGGUCUGGACUGGGUUCUAUAUUUAGUAGACAGGGCUGUAAAUUCAUUUCCCUUCACUAACAGGGGAGGACCCAGUGUCCGCAUGGCUCAUUUGAGGGUACCUGAAUCAACACAAGAGUGUGCACUGAAUUUCUUGGUCAUCUGCUCUGCAGAUGUAGAAAGCCAUGGGCUGUUCUCUCUUUUUUCAAGUGCAGCUAGAAGCAGAGCUUUUGGAUGGCCUGUACAGCAGCUCCCCAUGCGGUCUUGUUAGGUUCCCAGGUCACAAAAGCUGAAGGCUAUAUUAAUAUAAUUGGGGCCGUGAAUUAGUUUCUCUGCCCAGGAGCAGUGGGAGGGGCACCUUUAAAGGCAAUAAAGCUCUUUGUGUGUUAUCUUAUCCUGACCUGUGUCCCAAGUUCCCUGGCCAAAUAUGAGCCACUGGCUUUGUUCUGCUCACUGUUGUAUAUGCCUGUCUGUCUCUUGGCUACAGUAUUGCUGGCUUUUUGUAGCUCCCUUUUUUCACCAGCCCUUCUGGUCAGGUGGGGCUGGGAGAUGCUAUCCUCAGUGGUGGGGCUGUUUUAGUUCCCUUUUCUGAAUGGGAUGGAGAGGUGCUGCUCCAGGCUUCUCUGCUUUUCUGUCUUUUGACUCAGUAAGAGCCAGAAGCUACUCUCUACCUUGGCUAUGAGUUAAUUCCUCUGCCUAGGUACAGCAGGCCACCCCUCGACACCUGGUACUGGCUUUGCUCUAGACAGUUAGCUCUGCCUUUCUGCUUAUUGGCUUACACAUUGUUGGUUACAGAGCUUCCAGAUAUCCUUGCCAGCCCUUCUGGUCAGAUGGGGCCUGGGAGCCACAGUGGGUGUGGCUGUGUUUCAGGUUACUUGCUUGGGUGGGGUUGGGAGGGGUGCCUCCUGGCCUUGCUCACAUGUUCCCCAAACGAGUUUUUCUUAUGGGUGAGGCCAUGAUGCACCCUCAGCCUUCGCUGUGAAUUAAUUCCCCUGCCUGGGUGCAGCAGGGGAAUUUUUCAUACCCUGUACUGGCUUUGCCUCGGGGACUGUCCGAACCACCCACACACCUCUUGGUUGGAGUAUUGCUGAGCUAUACAGCUUUUAGGUUUUCUUGUCAGUGCCCUCUGGCAAGAUGGACCAGAAGACAGUUUCCCCAGCAAAUGGAGCUACAACUCCUUGCUUGGAUACAGUUUCUAGAGUCAGCAAAACUUGUAUGAGAACCCAAAUCAAGCAGAUAUGUACUCCAGUGAGUUCUCUGGUCACAGUUUGUCCCAGACUUGGUUCUGGUGAUGAGCAAAGCUGCUGGUUGGAGCCACUACUUGGAUUACUAAUCACUUGGGGAGUUGUAGUCAUGAAUUGCAUCUGCCAAGAUCUGUGUGUUGGUUAUUGCAAGCCUCACAGUUUCCCCUGCAAUUCUCAUGGCACGAGACCAGAGUAGGGGCUCUCAUGAAGUAAUCUGCAGUGGUGGUGGU